AAAUAGUCCUCAACAUAACCUGUCCUCUCCUUCCUUAUCCUGUUCCUCUCCCCAUCCUCUUCUGAUGGCGGCUGGCUGAUGACGCCGGCCGAAGAGGGAGAGCAAGACGACGCCCUUCCCCCAGUAACCCCCAGCCUCUCCCCUCCCAGCCGCGGCCUCCCCAUCGAGGUAGCAGUGCGGUGACGCUUGGCGUCUCCUUGAUCUCCCCUUGUCAACGCACUUCCAUGUUCGGCUGCCGUACACCCCCAUACCCUCCCUGCUCGAUGCCACCGAGCUCCGGUAGUCCAGCUCAUCAAAUCCGGCGGGCCGGAGGCUGCAGCUCACCAUGUUCCACAGCGUCCAGCUCCAAUCCGGCAACUAUGAAGAACAACUGCAAGAUGACGAGCCAUCUGAAGAUGAAGCUGGGGUUACCAUCAAUUUAAAGAGCAAUUUAAAAAAAAAACAUUCAACCAGAUCAUUUUGUUGACCCUUCGUCUUGAUAUGCAUAUGAAAUCAGAUGAUAUUCCUAUUUUUUCUGGUAUUGUCUACAUGCUAAUCAUAAUUACAAAUUUGAUUUGAUUAGAUGAUUGCUCACCUGAGCCAUAACAAUUUCAGGUUAGCUGUACUCCUAUUCCUUUUAAAUUUUCUAUAGCAUAUCAGGAUUGUAAGAUGAAGAGCUAUCAAUAAGUUCAAGAAAAAGCUUGAACCAAUGGCAGCAAGUAAGGACAAAUUCUUUUGUAAUCAACACUCACUAGUGAUUUUAGGAGUUGUAGUCAUGUUCUGGUACCCAAAUUUUAACUAGCAUCGUUGAAAUUCUAUUCAACAUAAGUUUAAUUCUUGUCAAACCAGAUCAGUUUGUUGACCUUUCUGUCUUGGAUGUGCAUAUUAAAAUAGGCGAUGUUCCUUUUUUUUUCAGGUAUGAUCUGCAUGUUCUGUUGCAAGUUCAUAUCUGGAAAAAAAAUGCUUGUUGUGACGAGCUACUAUUCUUUCAGGAAGCUGAACAUGCAAGUUCAUAUCUGCAAAAAAAAAAUUGCAAGUUCAACUGCAUCCACCGUCUCUUUCAGGAAGCCAAGAUGUCUUGUUCAUAUGAUCAUGGGAUCUGCACGGUGCUCAACCUAUUGGCAUACAAAAGCAUCCCUCGAUUCAUGUUAUUCGUGGAUGAUGCCCUUGUGGAGUGAUCUGGAGCUAUGGACACCUUCCCUAAAGCUUGAAACAUGUAGUUUAUGUUUAGAUUUUGUAAUGUGCUAGAAUGUUUGGAACUUCAGUUUUCUACUUUGUUUUUGCUUUUCUGAACUGCCAUAGGCAGAUGUCGGUGAGCAGAUAUGUAACUGGCUACGAUGUGGUUCCAUUUUAAUUAAAUGAAGCCGGGGGUUCCACCCUAUUUUUCGGAAUAAA